CAGUAGCCGCGGUAAUACGAAGGGUGCAAGCGUUAAUCGGAAUUACUGGGCGCAAAGCGUGCGUAGGCGGUGAGUUAAGUCUGCUGUGAAAUCCCCGGGCUCAACCUGGGAACUGCAUCUGUGACUGUAUAGCCAGAGUACGGUAGAGGGGGAUGGAAUUCCGCGUGUAGCAGUGAAAUGCGUAGAUAUGCGGAGGAACACCGAUGGCGAAGGCGGCCAUCUGGGACAACACUGACGCUGAGGCACGAAAGCGUGGGGAGCAAACAGGAUUAGAUACCCCAGUAGUCCCUGUCUCUUAUAC
rnacentral:rRNA from 1 species